rnacentral:misc_RNA from 1 species
GAUGUAGAACGCAGCGAAAUGCGAUACGUAAUGUGAAUUGCAGAAUUCAGUGAAUCAUCGAAUCUUUGAACGCAUAUUGCGCUCUUUGGUAUUCCGAAGAGCAUGCUUGUUUGAGUAUCAGUAAACACCUCAACCUCUUCUUGAUUUUUCAAAAGGAGGGUGGACUUGAGCUAUCCCAACAACCUUUACCGGUCGGCGGGCGGCUUGAAAUGCAGGUGCAGCUGGACUUUUAUCUGAGCUAAAAGCAUAUCUAUUUAGUCCUCGUCAAACAGGAUUAUUACUUUUGCUGCAGCUAACAUAAAGGAUAAUUGUCCUCUUUGCUGACUGAUGCAGGAUUUUACGACACUUUAUGUGUUGUUCAACUCGAUCUCAAAUCAAGUAAGACUACCCGCUGAACUUAAGCAUAUCAAUAAGCGGAGGA